AACGAACGCUGGCGGCAUGCCUAACACAUGCAAGUCGAACGAAGUCUUCGGACUUAGUGGCGCACGGGUGCGUAACGCGUGGGAAUCUACCCUUAGGUUCGGAAUAACUCACCGAAAGGUGUGCUAAUACCGGAUAAUGUCUUCGGACCAAAGAUUUAUUGCCUUUGGAUGAGCCCGCGUAAGAUUAGCUUGUUGGUGAGGUAAAAGCUCACCAAGGCGACGAUCUUUAGCUGGUCUGAGAGGAUGAUCAGCCACACUGGGACUGAGACACGGCCCAGACUCCUACGGGAGGCAGCAGUGGGGAAUAUUGGACAAUGGGCGCAAGCCUGAUGCAGCGACGCCGCGUGAGGGAUGACGGCCUUCGGGUUGUAAACCUCUUUCACCAGGGACGAAGCGUGAGUGACGGUACCUGGAGAAGAAGCACCGGCCAACUACGUG
rnacentral:rRNA from 1 species